rnacentral:rRNA from 1 species
UACGUAGGGUGCGAGCGUUAAUCGGAAUUACUGGGCGUAAAGGGUGCGUAGGCGGCGCGGAAAGUUGGGUGUGAAAUCCCUCGGCUCAACCGAGGAACUGCGCCCAAUACUACCGUGCUUGAGGGAGAUAGAGGUGAGCGGAACUUAGGGUGGAGCGGUGAAAUGCGUUGAUAUCCUAAGGAACACCGGUGGCGAAAGCGGCUCACUGGAUCUCUUCUGACGCUGAGGCACGAAAGCUAGGGUAGCGAACGGG